rnacentral:rRNA from 1 species
GUGGUAAUGCCGGAUGCUCCGACUCCUCGCAUGGGGUGUCGGGAAAGAUUUCAUCGGUAUGGGAUGGGGUCGCGUCCUAUCAGGUAGUCGGCGGGGUAACGGCCCACCGAGCCUACGACGGGUAGCCGGCCUGAGAGGGCGACCGGCCACAUUGGGACUGAGAUACGGCCCAGACUCCUACGGGAGGCAGCAGUGGGGAAUAUUGCACAAUGGGCGCAAGCCUGAUGCAGCGACGCCGCGUGCGGGAUGACGGCCUUCGGGUUGUAAACCGCUUUUGAUCGGGAGCAAGCCUUCGGGUGAGUGUACCUUUCGAAUAAGCACCGGCUAACUACGUGCCAGCAGCCGCGGUAAUACGUAGGGUGCAAGCGUUAUCCGGAAUUAUUGGGCGUAAAGGGCUCGUAGGCGGUUCGUCGCGUCCGGUGUGAAAGUCCAUCGCUUAACGGUGGAUCUGCGCCGGGUACGGGCGGGCUGGAGUGCGGUAGGGGAGACUGGAAUUCCCGGUGUAACGGUGGAAUGUGUAGAUAUCGA